rnacentral:rRNA from 1 species
AAUGAACGCUGGCGGCAGGCCUAACACAUGCAAGUCGAACGGAUCCUUCGGGAUUAGUGGCGGACGGGUGAGUAACGCGUGGGAACAUACCCUUUGGUACGGAAUAGCCUCGGGAAACUGGGAGUAAUACCGUAUGUGGUCGAGAGACGAAAGAUUUAUCGCCAAAGGAUUGGCCCGCGUUGGGUUAGGUAGUUGGGGGGGUAAUGGCCUGCCAAGCCGACGAUCCAUAGCUGGUGUGAGAGGAUGAUCAGCCACACUGGGACUGAGACACGGCCUAGACUCCUACGGGAGGCAGCAGUGGGGAAUCUUAGACAAUGGGGGAAACCCUGAUCUAGCCAUGCCGCGUGAUCGAUGAAGGCCUUAGGGUUGUAAAGAUCUUUCAGGUGGGAAGAUAAUGACUGUACCACCAGAAGAAGCCCCGGCUAACUCCGUGCCAGCCGCCGCCGUAA